rnacentral:rRNA from 1 species
UACAGAGGGUGCAAGCGUUGUUCGGAAUUAUUGGGCGUAAAGGGCGCGUAGGCGGUGCGGUAAGUCUUUUGUGAAAUCUCCGGGCUCAACUCGGAGUCUGCAGGAGAAACUGCCGUGCUUGAGUGUGGGAGAGGUGAGUGGAAUUCCCGGUGUAGCGGUGAAAUGCGUAGAUAUCAGGAGGAACACCUGUGGUGUAGACAGCUUACUGGACCACUUCUGACGCUGAGACACGAAAGCGUGGGUAGCAAACAGG